rnacentral:rRNA from 1 species
AUGCGCCACCCAUGGAAGCACCCCACCGCGCGCCACGGCGCCGCCGAGCUCUGCUUCCGCGAGGUCGGCGACCUCCUCCCCCGCCGCUUCGCUCGCCGCGCCGCCGCCUCCGAGGAGCUUGUAAUGCGCCUCCAGAUUCAUAGGAAGCUCAACAAGCACACAGGAUGCGUGAACACGGUGGGCUUCAAUGCCGCUGGUGACACCCUCAUAUCUGGGUCAGAUGAUCAGAGGGUAAUGCUGUGGGAUUGGGACACUGGUGCAGUUAAAAUGCAGUUCCAUUCGGGCCAUGGCGAUAAUGUGUUCCAAGCACGGUUCAUGCCUUACACGAAUGAUCGCACCAUUGUCACCUGCGCUGCUGAUGGCGAGGUGAGAGUUGCCAAGAUCCAGGAUGGCCGGGAUGUGCUUACUUCAUUGCUUGGUGACCAUGAUGGAAGGGCUCACAAGUUGGCUUUAGAGCCUGGAAGCCCUUAUAUUUUCUAUAGUUGUGGCGAAGAUGGUCAUGUCCAACAUUUUGAUUUGAGGACAGAUACAGCCACAGAGUUAUUCAUUUGCAGAAAGUUUGUGGCUAAAUCAGGACACUCCUCUCAUGUCCAUCUUAAUGCAAUCACAAUUGAUCCACGGAAUCCAAAUCUUCUUGCAGUUGCGGGAAACAAUUCUUAUGCUCGUGUCUACGACAUCCGUAAAUGCAAGUCGGGUGGAUCAUCUGAUUUCGCUCAGCCAUCUGACUGUUAUUGUCCACCACAUCUUAUUGGCAAUAAGAAUGUUGGAAUAACAGGGUUAGCAUUCUCUCACCAGAGUGAGUUGCUUGUAUCUUACAAUGAUGAGAAUAUUUACCUCUUCCCUAAAAAUGGAGGGCUGGGACCCGACCCAAAAUCAUCCGUCAAAAUUGGAGGCGGUGAAGGGUCCAACUCAACAGUGUUUGCAUCUGGUGAAGAUGUUGAUCGACCUGCGCCUCAGGUUUAUGUUGGGCAUCGCAAUUGUGAGACUGUGAAGGGUGUGACUUUUAUUGGGCCAAAUCAUGAAUAUGUUGCCAGUGGGUCAGACUGUGGUCGGUUGUUUAUUUGGAGGAAGAGAGAUGGGAAAUUUUUACGGGCAAUGGAGGGUGAUGAAUGCAUAGUCAAUUGUAUUGAGCCCCAUCCUCAUGCUAUGACAAUUGCAAGCAGUGGAAUUGAUAAUGAUGUGAAGCUAUGGACUCCCUCCGCCGUUGAACGAGCACGAGUUGUUAAUGUUGAGGAGUUGAAGCCCCGAAAGAGGAAAGCAAAGCUCUGGCAAUUUGCCUUGCCGGAGGAAUUGGUCUGGCAUGUGCUGGCAUCACGACGUAGGCAACCAGCAGCUGGAGAAGAUUCAUCUGAGGAUCUUGAAGACAACACAGAAUUGCUUAGUCUUGUACUGCGAGCUGCAAACAGAGAUAACUUGUCUGAUGAGAGUGAUGAGGAUGAAAAAACCUCGGAUGGCUCUGGAGAAUAG